rnacentral:rRNA from 1 species
GACGAACGCUGGCGGCGUGCUUAACACAUGCAAGUCGAACGGAAAGGCCCUGCUUUUGUGGGGUGCUCGAGUGGCGAACGGGUGAGUAACACGUGAGUAACCUGCCCUUGAUUUUGGUAUAACUUCAGGAAGCUGGGGCUACUCCCGGAUAGGAGCCCCUGUUGCAUGGAGGGGGUUGGAUCGUUUAGGCGGUUGGGGAUGGACUGGCGGCUUAUCAGCUUGCUGGUGGGGUAGUGGCUUACCCAGGCUUUGACGGGUAGCCGGCCUGAGAGGGUGACCGGGCACAUGACGACUGAGAGAGGGACCAGACGCCAACGGGAGGCAGCAGUGGGGAGUAUUCCACAGUGGUCGGGAGCCUGAUGCAGCAACGCUCCGGUCGGGAUGACGGCCUGCUGGUUGUGAACCGCUGUAGCCUGUGACGAAGCGUGAGUGACGGUAAUGGGUAAAGAAGCACCGGCUAACUACGUG